CGCGGGGUAGAGCAGUCCGGUAGCUCGUUGGGCUCAUAACCCAAAGGUCGGCGGUUCAAAUCCGUCCUCCGCAACCA
rnacentral:tRNA from 1 species